rnacentral:piRNA from 1 species
UGACUGAGAUGACUGGAUGACCUGCC